rnacentral:rRNA from 1 species
GACCUGACUGCUAUCGGAUUGAUACUAAGCCAUGCGAGUCAUUGUAGCAAUACAAGGCAUACGGCUCAGUAACGCGUAGUCAACCUAACCUAUGGACGGGAAUAACCUCGGGAAACUGAGAAUAAUGCCCGAUAGAACAUUAUACCUGGAAUGGUUUAUGUUCCAAAUGAUUUAUCGCCGUAGGAUGGGACUGCGGCCUAUCAGUUUGUUGGUGAGGUAAUGGCCCACCAAGACUAUUACAGGUACGGGCUCUGAGAGGAGUAGCCCGGAGAUGGGUACUGAGACACGGACCCAGGCCCUAUGGGGCGCAGCAGGCGAGAAAACUUUGCAAUGUGCGAAAGCACGACAAGGUUAAUCCGAGUGAUUUCUGCUAAAGAAAUCUUUUGUUAGUCCUAGAAACACUAACGAAUAAGGGGUGGGCAAGUUCUGGUGUCAGCCGCCGCGGUAAAACCAGCACCUCAAGUGGUCAGGAUGAUUAUUGGGCCUAAAGCAUCCGUAGCCGGCUCUGUAAGUUUUCGGUUAAAUCUGUACGCUUAACGUACAGGCCGCCGGGAAUACUGCAAAGCUAGGGAGUGGGAGAAGUAGACGGUACUCGGUAGGAAGUGGUAAAAUGCUUUGAUCUAUCGAUGACCACCUGUGGCGAAGGCGGUCUACUAGAACACGUCCGACGGUGAGGGAUGAAAGCUGGGGGAGCAAACCGGAUUAGAUACCCGGGUAGUCCCAGCUGUAAACUAUGCAAACUCAGUGAUGCAUUGGCUUGUGGCCAAUGCAGUGCUGCAGGGAAGCCGUUAAGUUUGCCGCCUGGGAAGUACGUACGCAAGUAUGAAACUUAAAGGAAUUGGCGGGGGAGCACCACAAGGGGUGAAGCCUGCGGUUCAAUUGGAUUCAACGCCGGG